UACGUAUGUGGCAAGCGUUGUCCGGAUUUACUGGGCGUAAAGAGCGCGCAGGCGGUCGUAUAAGUCGAAUGUGAAAGCCCCCGGCUCAACUGGGGAGGGUCAUUCGAUACUGUUCGACUCGAAGGCAGGAGAGGGAAGUGGAAUUCCGGGUGUAGUGGUGAAAUGCGUAGAUAUCCGGAGGAACACCAGUGGCGAAGGCGACUUUCUGGCCUGUUCUUGACGCUGAGGCGCGAAAGCUAGGGGAGCAAACGGG
rnacentral:rRNA from 1 species